UACGUAGGGUGCGAGCGUUGUCCGGAAUUAUUGGGCGUAAAGAGCUCGUAGGCGGCUUGUCACGUCGAUUGUGAAAGCCCGAGGCUUAACCUCGGGUCUGCAGUCGAUACGGGCUAGCUAGAGUGUGGUAGGGGAGAUCGGAAUUCCUGGUGUAGCGGUGAAAUGCGCAGAUAUCAGGAGGAACACCGGUGGCGAAGGCGCUGCUCUGGGCCGAUACUGACGCUGAGGAGCGAAAGCGUGGGUAGCAAACAGG
rnacentral:rRNA from 1 species